rnacentral:tRNA from 1 species
GCUGAAAUAGCUCAGUUGGGAGAUAAUUAGGCUGAAGAUCUAAAGGUCCCUGGUUCAAUCAGGGUUUCUGCA